AACGAACGCUGGCGGCAGGCCUAACACAUGCAAGUCGAACGCCCUAGCAAUAGGGAGUGGCGCACGGGUGCGUAACGCGUGGGAAUAUGCCCUUCACUGCGGAAUAACGUUUGGAAACGAACGCUAAUACCGCAUAAUGACUCCGGUCCAAAGAUUUAUCGGUGAAGGAUUAGCCCGCGUUAGAUUAGCUAGUUGGUGAGGUAAGAGCUCACCAAGGCAACGAUCUAUAGCUGGUCUGAGAGGAUGAUCAGCCACACUGGGACUGGGACACGGCCCGGCCUCGUACGGGAGGCAGCAGUGAGGAAUAUUGGACAGUGGGCGCAAGCCUGAUCCAGCCAUGCCGCGUGAGUGAAGAAGGCCUUCGGGUUGUAAAGCUCUUUCAGUUGUAAAGAUAAUGACGGUAACAACAGAAGAAGUCCCGGCUAAAUUCGUGCCAGCCGCCGCCGUAA
rnacentral:rRNA from 1 species